rnacentral:lncRNA from 1 species
AAUCCUAAAGAUUGGUUUUUUUCUUGUUUUCUUUUUUCUUUUCCUUUCCAUCUGAUUGAUCCAAUUUAUUACAAGAACCGGGUAGUAUUUCCGAUUCCGAGAUCAAGUAAUUGAGUCUUUCUUGCUAUGUAUGGGAUCGAUGCCCAGUUUCUGAAACUUUGGUAUCAGUAAAGGGUUUAGGGAUGUCGAUUUGUUGUCUUAAUUCUUUUCUGUUCCCUAAUUGGUGUCAAGUUGCUCCUAAGUUACAGUCUUUCACUAAAUUGUAAAUUUUUACAUGGUGAUAUAAGUACUUAAAACAUUGAAAGAGACAGACAGUUGAUAUUGCACUUGUAAUUCUCAAUGCUGGAUAGAUUUGAAUUUUGGUUAUAGUUUUUGAGAAUUCAUUGAAGCAAAGAGAAAAUUACUUCCUGGACUACCUCUUUUUUUUCUUUUUUCAAGGUUGAUUCAUAUCUAAGUUGAGAUACAUUCUUGGACUGUUAGGUUGUUAUAAACUGUGAAACAUGGCACAAGAUAGCUGGAACAAAGAGACCGAGGAGACUGAAUGCUGCACACCGGAAGGUCCGAN